CACCUUACACCUUACACUGUGAUACGUUGCCAAUUUAAGCCAGAGUUUUGGUGAUUGUGUCUGUUUCAAGAAGACUAUCCUCAGCUCAACUCAGGUCCAUCUAAAUCAUCUCAGAGGAAAAUUCAAAGCCCCAAGUCCUUCAAGGUACCCAAGUCUCCCCCUCCUGGUUUCUUUGCUGCCCAGGUGCACAAAGUGUGUCCCAGAGUCUAAAGAUAGAUGUGGAUCAGCUAUGGUCUGGAUGUUUAUGUUCGCCCGAAAUUCAUGGGUUGAAAUCCUAACCCCCAAGGUGAGGUUAUUGGGAGGUAGGGACUAUGGGAUUGUUAGGUCAUAAUGGCAAGACCUUCGUAAAUGGGAUUAGUGCCCUUAUAAAAGAGGCCUGAGAGACACUCCUCGUCCCUUCCACCAUGUGAGCACAUGGCAAGAAAGUGCCAUGUAUGAACCAUAAAAUAGGCCUUCUCCAGAUAUUGAAUCUGCCAGUACCUUAAUCUUGGACUUCUCAGCCUCCAGAACGAUGAAGACCCCUAGACUUCAGAGAAGAUGAUAUCUAAGUGUCAGAGCUGGGAUUCCAAACCAGAUCUGUCCAGCUCCGAAGACUGAGCUCAUAACCCUUAACACUAAUCCCCUCUCUGACCCAGCGCUGUGAUUCUAGGCUAGUCUGAUUAAAGCCCCAGAAUUUCACAACCUUUUAAGAAUACAGUCAAGAAAGAAGAGAUCAUUGUUUCAACCUGCCUCUGAAUCGUAGUAAAUAACGGGCCCUGAUAUUAACAAGGCAGCUUCCCUCCUAAGUGCGAAGGACCCUUGAAAAGGGUAUCUUAAUCAUGGGUGUCAUAUUUUAUGAUUGUGUCUGUUUGUAUUUAGUACACUUGUUAUCCUUGAUGUUUUCGCCCUGAGGACAUCAACUGAACAAAGUUGCAUACAUCUUUGUGGAUUACCCUUUCUGCAUCCAUAAGUUAUCUGCUCUUUUAAAAUAAUUUGUACUAAAACACCGAGAGUUUUUUCUAAUGGGAAUAGACAGCUAGUGUUUUUUUAAUGCAAAUGACUUCUCCCCACAUUCUCCCCAGCCCAAAGCUAAAUCUGCAUCAGCAUCGGAGGGGCUCGGUGCUUCUAGAAGCAAUUUAGGCACAGCAGUUGGGAAUGGCAGUGUGACUUAAAGCCCCUUGCUCCGUAUUAGGGAAAGCUACAUGCGAAUUCCGAAAGAGAUUCCAUAGGAUGAGCAGAGAUGUGUUCAGGGCAUUUAUUAUCAUACUCGCUGCUCUUGUUUUUAAGAAACCAGCUUCUGUUCAGGUGGUUUUGUUUGUAUGCAAAGAUUAAACUGUUAAAUAAAAUCACAAGCACCGUC
rnacentral:lncRNA from 1 species